rnacentral:rRNA from 4 species
CGUAUCGGAAGGUGCGGCUGGAUCACCUCCUUUA